rnacentral:tRNA from 1 species
CCUUCGAUAGCUCAGCUGGCAGAGCGGAGGACUGUAGAUGUUACAACGGUGAUCCUUAGGUCGCUGGUUCAAAUUCGGCUCGAGGGA